AUUAAAAUUCACGAGUCGAAUGUAAUAUGCGCAUUUGAAAGGGUUGGUUUCAGUUGAGUGGGCUGGGAUAAUAUUCUGCAUUGCUAAAUUAGGAACGAGAUGGUCGCUUUUCCUUGAGAAAGGUUAGAUCAAGGUUAAGAUUUUGAGGGGGAGGUGAAAGUAGUAUUUGAUGAAAUACGUGUUUUGAAAGCGUAAACAUCCUGUAAGCGCACAAGGCGAGACUUGUGAAACUUUCACUUGAUCAUUACAUUUCGAAGCGGUGAGGUUGGUGCUAUCAUCCUCCAUAAGGAUUACAAUGGAAGCUCGUAAUGAACGCAAACGUAGAUGUGUUGACACGUUGGGGGAUGUGCAGCCGUCGGAAGAUCUUAUUUUAAACCUUGCUCCCGAGGAAGGCGAAACCUCCCGCAAAAAACUCAAAAAAAAUUAAAAUAUACAUUGGAAAAAAUGUUUCAAUAGAAACUUGUGACUUCAAAAAUGUCAAUUAUGUUUCAUUUGUAAGGGUGUAUCCCGAAACCGCCGCCACCCCCAAAAGAUUUAAUAUAAAUAUGAAUUGUAUUGAUCGUAUAAUCGAAGCUUUGGGGGUGAUUAAGAGUCACUGUAUGUAAAAUAAAAAAAAAAAAAAAAAAAAAAGAUAUCAAAAUGCUGAUUUUGCUGGAAAGCGGUAGUGGAAGUUAGUAAAUUAAUAUGAAUUUUAUAUAAUAUUGUAAACAAAAAAGUUCCAUUAUUUAUUUAUUAUUUUUUUCAAAUGAUGAAUUUUAUUCAGUUAGCGCAAGCCCACCGAGGCUAUUUGCGCACUUUAAGAACAACAUUCGAUGCUUCUCAGAAAGAUCCGUAUGAGAUAUUCAGAACGGCACGCCCUGCCAUAUACAACAUUUUAAAUACUAGAUCGAGUUUAAGACUCAGGAUUUUAAUAUGUUUGAAAAUAUGUUUUGAGAAACUGGGGAAAGAUGA
rnacentral:misc_RNA from 1 species